rnacentral:lncRNA from 1 species
GGCUCUGAGGAGUAGCGCCGCAAGUGCAGAAACGUGCGGCAGAAGCACCGGGGUGCUCCUUGCCAGCCCGCGCGGGUGGGGGCUGCCCAGCGGGAUUAAGAGCCGCGUGUUCGGUGGCGGGUCCUCUUCCAGGGAUCUCUGCCUCCUACGUGGGUUUCCCCCUCUUCGUAAGAGGUGGACGGAGUGCACUGCUUGUAAAACAAGGGUCCGGGCGGGUCGAGAUCAAGGGCUCCCUCCUUUCCCCGGAGGCGCUGCUGCGGCCACUUCCUGCAGUGACUUCCGAGGCCCGCUCUCCUUGCCGUUCCCAGAAGCCCUGGGGAGGCCAGGCAACUGUUUACCCCAAACUCUGGCGGGGGUGGGGGCGGCGGGGCAGGGACAGGGCGGGUUCCCUUCUUACUGGAAGCCGGAGAGAAAGACCUUUCCGGCCUGUAAAGCACGUGCUGUUUUUUCCCUAAGAAGCUGGGCGGGAAGGAGAACCUGGGAACAGUCACCCACGGGGCACCCUCAGCUGUUUUUCUCACCUCUCGAGACAAUACAACAAUGAGGGAGAACUUGGCAACUUUCGAAGAGGAAAUUAGGCGGAAUUUGCCUGGAACGAGGCCCUUUGAGUAUUCGAAAGAUUUAUCACCAGGAGAAGUCCUGCCGCCUGGGCAGGCCUGCCCACUUCCAGGGGCUCUCUUGCCCAGGCUCCCUCAAGUGACCCCCAGGACUUGGAGCCAGGCCCUGAGUCCCGUGGGCCCGGGUCAUCCAGGCUCAGCCAUCACACGUCAGGGUAGUGACACUGCAGAAACCCACUCUGUCCCCGGGCCCGCUCCCCUCUCCCUUUCCUGGGAAGCCACUGAGAGAUGCCUGGGGUUCUAGAGGUCCCCCUGCCCCCAUGGCCUCUGUCCUUCUGAACUAGAUGAGAAACUAGAGGAAGGAGCUGGACGGCCCACGCUUGUCACAGCCUCUCUGGCUUCGACAGGGGCCAUGUCUGUGAGGGGGCAGUGGCCACACCGAAGGUCACCCCCCUCUUCUGGAGGAAAGUUCUGGCCCACCCUCUGGUUCGAGGGGUGGGGCCUCCUGGUGAUCGGAACUGGCACCAGGAGGCCCCACCCCUCCACCCGCAUGAUGCUUUCAGAUUUCCCAGCCCAGUUCCUGGGAACCCAGCAGUAGGGAAGACAGGCUGUAGGGAGAGAGCAGGCUGUGCAGCCUUGGACAGCUGGGAUCCCCUCUCUGGGCUUAAGAUUGAUCUGUAAACUGGACCCGUGAUACCUGUCUCCCUGGGUGUUGCAAAGAUCAGCAAGAUUGCAUGUAAAAUCCUCAACACUUAGCACAAGAGGUGUUCAGGAAAGAUCUGGCCAGACUGCUUCUAGGGCCCUCGUCAAAUACGGUGCAGGGAAGAGAGGGCGUCAAGGCUGACUAGUUCUUUGAAGUUCACUGCGUGUGAAAUGUUCUCACUGAACAGAAUAGGUAUACUGAUGCUUCAUUCCCCCUGCUGUCCACUCCCUGCCAACCCAUUUAUCCACCAGUCUGUUCACCAUCUGUCCAUCAUUCCACCCAUCCCUCUGUCCAUCCACCUUUCCAUUUAUCCAUGUAUCCAUCCCAUUAGUCAGUCAGGCAGUCAGUCAACAAACAUUUAUCUGAGUUUUAUGGACACAGUGGUGAAUAAGUCAGACAUGCUUGGUCCCCAACCUCACAGAGCCCACGGGCUGGAGAGGAGGAAGACCAGUGAUUACAGGACAGUGUCAUCUGUUCGAUGAGGUAUCGUCACCUGACGUGGUGAUAGGGGGGCGGGGGCAGGCACCACUAAGACACCGGCAUGUCGGGUGAGACCCAAAAGGCAGAUGGUUGAGGGAGCGAGGGGCUGGAGGCAGUGCGUUCCUGCUGGGAGGGACCCGCCAUGGGAAAAAGGGACAGGAAGCAGAGCGUGCCAGCUCGUUCUAGGCUGCGGUAACACAGCCCCACAUUCUAAGUGGCUUGGAACAGCAUGGGACUGUUUCCCACUCGGAGUGCGUGUCCAUCCUGGGUCAGCUGGGAGCAUGCACCAUCUGGAUGUUUCUGGUCAGCAGGCUGGGGGAAGGGACCCUACUAAAUAGCGCACGGGCUCUUCAGGGCUUCCACCGGAGGCGACACCAGGCACCUGGCCGAGUGUUCCUGCCACGUGCCCGAAGGAGAGCUGCAAGCGUUGGGGAAGGACUCGGAUGAGACCGCAGCAAGCUGGCCUCUGAGUUUCCUCAUCAGAGACACAGCAGAAGAGACAUUGGCUUAGAGUUGGGUCUUAACCUGUGGUCCAUGCGUAUUCUGAAACUGCCUGCACAGUUGCGUGUGUGUGUGUGUAGCGAGUGUGCAAAUGUGUAUGUUACUUGGGUACAAGUCCAUCGCUUGUUUAAAUCCCCCAAAGACUGAGAACCCUGGGUUAGGUGAUACCUGAAAGCCCAUUGAGCCUCUGAAUCGAAGAGCCAUUUGUUGUAGUGGCUGCACGUGGCCGAGGCUCCAAAGUGGAGCUGGCCCAGGGUUGGGGGACAGGGACUGUGGCCACCUCCCCUCCCAGCUGUGCUGGGGGAGGAAUGAGCCACAGGUGGGUGGGAGGCCUUCAGUGUCUCUGCCUCCCAGGGCUGGGGGCGAGGUGGGGCCAGCAGCUCAUGCUUUGCCUCACCUGUAAUUAAUUCACUCCUCAAGGAGUUCCCAUCAUGGCUCAGUGGUUAACGAAUCCAACUAGGAACGGGUUGAACCCGCAACCUCAUGGUUCCUAGUCGGAUUCAUUUCCGCUGUGCCACGACAGGAACUCCUUUUUUUUUUCCUUGAUGAAAGACCUUUGACAGGGACUCAGACUUGAAGCCCCCGGCUUGGGAGGGCUGGGCCUGGCCCUGGGGAGACGGUCCGUGUGGGAUUUGGCUGCCGAGGCCAGGACCAGAGUCGCCAUCCACCCCACGUCCCACCGCCUCCUGUUUCUUCCGAGGCUGCUGUUCGCCUGUUCUGCGCACCUAGCCCUGCUGGUACGGGCCACACUAAUCAGAGCGAGGGGUUUGGAAGUGAGACCCUGCCCUCAGCGAGCUUACCGUCCUCUCAUUGGUUCCUCCAGCAGGUCUCUCCCGGGUACCUCCGGCCCCAGGCCCCGGGGAUACAGUGGGGGUCACUCCUGGGUCACACCCGGGUCACACCCCUUGGCAGCGCAGCAGGGUGGGUUGGCCAGUGGAAGGCAGGUCUCCUCCUGCCCCACCUCGCCCACCGCCCUCUCCUCUCUCUUCCUUUUAUCUUCACUCAUUGGGUCCAGCCAGUGACACAUUGUGGGCACCAUCCGAGCCCGCAGUGGGCCCUCGGAACCCGUGGGAUGACCCCUGUCUGUGCUAAACCAGCCGGGCCGUACCUCCUCUGUUCACUUCUUACUGCUGCUGUGGCAAAGUUAAACAACACAAAGGUAUCAGCCUACCCUUCUAGAGAUCCGAAUCCAGCGUGGCUACCACUGGCUAAAAUCGAGGUGUCCGCAGGGCUGGUUCCUUCUGAAGCCCGAGGGAGUUACCCAUGUCCUUGCUGUUGCCAGCUUCCAGAGCCGCCCGCCUCCCUGGGCUCAUGGCCACAUCAUUCCAACCUCUCCUUCCGUCUCUGACCCUCUGCCUCCCUCCUGUAAGAACCAUUGUGAUUACAGUGGCUCACCUGGAUAAUCCAGAAUAAUCUCUGCAUCCCGAGGGCUUUCACUUAAUGACAUCCGCCAAGUCGUCUGCACCUAAGGUGGCGCACUCGUGGGGCAUUAGACGUGGACAGACCUCAGAGGUUCCCUUGUGCCACCUACUACCCCUCCCCGCUCUCUGGCCACCUCGGUUGUGAUAAAAGCAGAUAAAAAUGGUCGUGGGCCAGAAGCGGGCAGGAGCUGGCUCAUACGGGCGUAUACCAGCUCCCGGGAGCCCAGCGCCAUCAUCUCCUUUUAUCUCUGGUCCAGGGACAUCCCCCGGUAGAGUGGACUCGGCCAGUGUGGCGUUAGUGACAUCACAGAAGUCCACACACACACUGUGGUUGGGACUUUUAGCCCGGAACCUCUUUUUCAGCACAGUCGUGGCCGUGGUCGGUGCAGGUACCCAGCCCUGCUCCCAGUAGAGUGUUUGCACUUUGCUGGGUGCUGCGCUCAGUACGUUAGCAUUUUACAUGGAUUAUCUCAUCGUGUGGGAUCUUUGCACCGCUCUUUCUGAGCGUGGGAUGUAUUUUGUCGCCCUAAUGAACAAGAAUCGUCAUGAGACCACAGCUAGGUCAGCAUAGACCGGAGGUGACCCAGCUACAGACCUUCCAGGGCUGCUGGUCCCUGGAACAGACUCCCCUUUGGCCUCCGCUGCCCUGGUCAGGUGUCCCAGGCUUUGUGCCAUCAGGGGACUUACUCCAGGUCCCAUGGAGGCAGAAUGGGGCCGUGAGCCCAGAGCUGCCAGAGACGCAGCUACGGCAGAGGCACCUGCCUCACACGGAGGGUCUCCCUCGUCUGCUUCCUGCUCGGGGCAGAAGCAGGAGCUCACCUUGCCUCCAGGUGCCGCUGUGGGUCGGCUCCGGGUCUGGAACGAGUCGCUAAGCUUGCCCAUGGGAGCCUGACUCUCAGCUGCACAGGCCACUGAACUGGUACAUUUUUUCCAGCCCAGAGAUUUCCCCAAACUGCCCUGGGCGAGCGGCUGCUGUUCCAUCAGUGACUUGGUGGGGGCUGCGGGGGAGGUCAGCUGCAAGCCCCAGAUCUCCCUGAAUGAGGGGGACACGCUGUCCACGCUGAUGUGUGUGCUGUGCCUGUGCGGGGGGAGGGGCAGUGUGGUCAGGGACAGACGUGGACAUUCGUGCUUGGGGAGAGGCUGUGGCCUUUGUCAGACUCCCUCUGACCUUCAGGGCCCGUGGGAUCAGGCAGGGACCCACACGGCGUUUCUGCCUUGGGGGUGGCCAACGGCAAACGUGAAAUGCCGUCACGCUGUGGUUUGGGCCUGAGUCAGAGUGCUGGGUUCAAGCCCUGGCCCCACCCCCAGUGCCUGGGAGCCCGUGGGAGAGUUUAACCCCCGAGCCUCAGUCUCCUUGUCUGUACUGUAGGGACGGGGGUGCAGACGGCGCCAGCUUCCCAGCUAUGACUUACAGGGCCUGAAUGAGCCAGUCCACUGUGGGGCUCAGUGUGGCAUCUAGCGCCCGUUAAACGUGCCAUAAAUACCAUGUUGCCAUCCGCACAUCUGCUAGAACCGGAGGUGAGCGCAGCGUGGUGGCGAGGAGUGGCCCAGAGUCUCUGGACUGGUGUGGCACGCGUCCCGGAAGGUCUCGCUCCCUGUACGGUGUUUUUUAAUGCAGUUCUGCCCGAGUUCAAGGCCAGGUGCUUUCUACCAUGGCUUUCGGCAGUUGGCAGGAGGGCUGGUGGUUAAAUUCACAGGCUUGGAAGCCGGGCUGCUGGCUUGAGGGCGGUUGUUUGAUGCGAGAGCUCAGGGUCUCCGUUUUCCCCCUUGUGAAGCAGGCACGCUGUGGCCCACCUCUUCGGGCUGUGGUGCAGGCUGCCGCAGAGUAUGUGGGUGACCACCGCCCAGGGCCUGGAGCAGGGCUUGGGGAGCCCCCAGUAAGAGCCAUCAGCAGCAGCAUCUCACCACACGCCUCCCCCACUCGUCCUGGUCCCUCCCGUCAUCCUGAAUAGCUUGAGAUAUGAGUACAGUUAAAGCUCUUCCAGCCAAACCCGUGCCCGGUGGCAUCGAUGUCUUAUUUCAGACAAGACCCCGGGGUGACGGGUUCUGGUCUGGUUUUUCACGCGGGGCUCAGCUUGGAGCACCCCUCUGAAGGUAAGCCAGGUCACAGAUCCCAUGGGACAGAGCCGGCUGGGGCUCCCGUGAGGACCUGUGCGACGCUCUGUGUCUGCCGGCCAGUCACUGGACCUCACUGUCCUGAUCUUCUCGUUGCAGGCUGCCAACAGCUACCUGCGAGACCAGUGGUUCCAUUCUCUGCAGUGGAAGGUAAGUCCUGACUCGCUUGCUUGCUGGAGGCAGCUGCCUUCGUCUCAGCAGCUGAGUGUGGGCUCACAGCAGGUCUGCCCCCGGAGGCUUGAGGGUGGAGGUCUCUCGCCUUCCUGGCAGCUCAGCCGAGGAGCUUGGCUCACUGUAUGGAAGCCCCCGCCUCCCUCUUUGACAGUUGAUACCUUUCCCCUCUCGAGGCGGAAACUGCCUUCCUCCCCUUGGCCCUCGGCUUUGCUCGGGAGCCUCACAGCGUGUGCCUGCUUCCGAAAGGCUCAAAGAACCACUUGCUCUCAGGGCAGGGGCUCUCCUGAGAGGCUCGGGGAGGCAGGACCUCAGGGGCUCAAGAUGAUGGCUUGAAAGUAACUUCCGGGAGUUCCCCGGUAGCGCAGCAGAUUAAAGAUCUGGCAUUGUCUCCACUGUGGCUCGGGUUACUGCUGUGGUUCAGUCUCUGGCCUGGUAACAUCAUACCACUGGAGAGACCAAAAUAAUAAUAACAGUAAUUUUUUUAAAAGUUCACUGAACAAAAAGUUCUUGUGUUUAAAAGAAAACGAGAAACGUGAAGUUCCCAUUGUGGCUCAGCGGGUUAAGACCCUGACACGGAUUGUCUCUCUAGGGUUGUGGGCUCCAUCCCUGGCCCCGCUCAGUGCGUUGCUGCAAGCUGUGGCCUAGGUCACCGAUGCGGCUCGGAUCUGGUGUGGCUGUGGCCGUGGCAGAGACCUGCAGCUGCAGCUCCGAUUUGACCCCUAGCCCACAGACUUCCACAUGCCACAGGUGUGGCCGUAAAAAGAAAAAAAAAA